UGUGACCCUGGCUAUUUCCUGGUGGGAGAGGACACGAUACAUUGUACCUCUGAGGGGAAGUGGACACCCAUUCCCCCCCAGUGCAAAGUUGCAGAGUGUAAGCCGGUAGGACCACAUGUCUUUGAGAGGCCUCAGAAUCACUUUAUUAGACCAGCCAUCAAUUCUUCUUGUGAUGAAGGGUUCCAGAUAAGUGAGAGUGCUUAUCAACUGUGUCAAGGUACAAUUCCUUGGUUUAUAGAGAUUCGUCUUUGUAAAGAAAUCACCUGCCCACCACCUCCUAUUAUCCUCAAUGGGACACAUACAUGGCGUUCCUCAGAAGAUGUCCCAUACGGAACUGUCAUCACUUACAUGUGCUAUCCUGGGUCAGAGGAAGGAGUAAAAUUCAAACUCAUCGGGGAACAAACCAUCCACUGUACAAGUGAUAGCAGAGGAAGAGGCUCCUGGAGUAGCCCUGCUCCUCUCUGUAAACUUUCCCUCCCUGCUGUCCAGUGCACAGAAGUCCAUGUUGAAAAUGGAGUCAAGCUCACUGACAAUAAAGCCCCAUACUUCUACAAUAAUAGUGUGACAUUCAAAUGUCGUGAUGGAUACAUUUUGAUUGGAAGCAGUCAGAUCCGGUGUAAAGCCAAUAACACCUGGGACCCUGAAGCACCACAUUGUAAAAAAGAAGGAUGUGAACCUAUGAGAAAACUUCCUGGCAUUUCAGAUCAUUCACUUAUAAAACUAGUAAAUAGAACCUGUCAAAAUGGGUACCAGUUGACUGGAUAUACUUAUGAGAAGUGUCAAAAUGCUGAGAAUGGGACUUGGUUCCAAAAGAUUGCAGUUUGUACAGUCAUUCUCUGUCCACCUCCACCAACAAUUGCAAAUGGUAGUCACACUGGCAUGAUGGCAGAGCACUUCCUGUAUGGAAAUGAAGUUUCUUAUGAAUGUGAUAAAGGGUUCUAUCUUUUGGGAGAGAAAAGUUUGCAGUGCAAAGGUCAUGGAUCUUGGAGUGGACCUCCACCACAGUGCUUACAAUCUUCUCCUUUAACUCAUUGCCCUGAUCCAGAAGUCAAAUAUGGAUACAAACUCAAUAAAACUCAUUCUGCAUAUUCUCAUAAUGAUAUAAUACAUGUUGUCUGCAAUCAAGGCUUCAUCAUGAAUGGCAGUCACUUGAUAAGGUGUCAUACUAAUAACACAUGGUUACCAGGUGUACCAACUUGUAUCAGAACUGGUAAGCUAUCUUUGUAAUAAAGAGUGAGAUGUUUUACAAAAUAAAAAGACUUUUGAGAUUGCCCUCUACUUAAAAGUAAAGCAUCUAAAAGGUAAAGCAGUUAGUGUUUUUAUAAGAUUGUUUGCCUUUUCCUGUCUUCUCACUUGACGUUUUCUCUUUCCUUUCUAUAAAGCAAGAGUACCUGAAAUGAUGAUUAACAUAUAGAUUAACCUCUAAUUUAUUCAUUCUCAUGACUCUAGAAUUGGGAAAGUGGGCAAACUUUCUGGCAAAUACUUAAAAAUAAUGUUCUUUGAAGUUUUGAUAUUUAAGGCUAUUGUGUUACCCAGAAAGAGAACGUUGCAUGUAACGAAGAAUGAAGCUGACCUUCAAACCCACUAAGUUGUCUCAUAAUUUUAAUUGUUAUUGGACAGCUUGUUCCUGAGAGUGAGGUGCAGCCUAUUAAGCUCCACAGAGGUGUGGUUCCUCUUACUUGUUCCUGGAUAUUUGUGUGUGCCGUGCUUAGAUUAUAGCCCAUUUUCUAUGUAGAAGGAAGAUAGUAGAUUAAUUCGUUGAAAACACUCCUACACUUUGGGACCAACCAAGGGAAGAUCCUAGAAUACUAUGGGCGAAUAAACUAUAAUACUUUUGACUCUUUUCUUUUA
rnacentral:lncRNA from 1 species